UAGGUUUUUUUUUUAAAGAAGGGGGGGUGGGGGGAGCACCAGGCUGCCGCCGUCGCCGCGCCGGCGGCCCCGCGCCCCAUGACGAUGCUGCUGGACGGAGGGCCGCAGUUCCCGGCGCUGGGGGUGGGCGGCUUCGCGGCGCCCCGCCACCACGAGAUGCCGGGCCGUGAUGCCGCCGCCGGGAUGGGGCUGGGCCCCUUCGGGGACUCCUCGCACGCCGCCGCCGCCUUCAAGCUGAACGCGGCCCCGCACGACCUCGCCGCCGGGCAGAGCUCGGCCUUCACGCCGCAGGCACCGGGCUACGCCAGCGCCCUGGGCCACCACCACCAUCACCACCACCACGCCGGCCAGGUGCCCUCCUACGGCGGGGCCGCCGCCUUCAACUCCACCCGCGAUUUUCUCUUUCGCAACCGGGGCUCCGGCAUCGCGGACGCCGCCUCCGGUACGGCGCAACACGGGAUUUUCGGCGGCUCCCCCGGCGGUUUGCACGGCCCCGGCGGCAUCCCGGACACCCCGGGCUACCUGCUCUUCCCGGGGCUUCACGAGCAGAGCCCCAGCCACACGUCCCCCAACGGGCAUGUGGACAACGGGCAGAUGCACCUGGGGCUACGCGGGGACCUCUUCGGGCGACCGGAUCCCUACCGGGCCGUCUCCAGCCCCCGCACGGACCCUUACGCCGGCGCCCAGUUCCACAACUACAACCACAUGAACAUGAAUAUGGGGAUGAACGUGGCGGCCCACCACCACCACCACCACCAUCACGGCCCCGGGGCUUUCUUUCGGUACAUGCGCCAGCCCAUCAAGCAAGAAUUGUCCUGCAAGUGGCUCGACGAGAGCCAGCUCAGCCGGCCCAAGAAGAGCUGCGACAGGACUUUCAGCACCAUGCACGAACUGGUGACCCAUGUCACCAUGGAGCACGUCGGGGGGCCGGAGCAGAACAACCACAUCUGCUACUGGGACGAGUGUCCGCGGGAAGGCAAGUCCUUCAAGGCGAAAUACAAACUGGUCAACCACAUUCGGGUGCACACGGGGGAGAAACCCUUCCCCUGCCCCUUCCCGGGCUGCGGCAAGAUCUUUGCCCGCUCCGAGAACCUCAAGAUUCACAAGCGGACCCACACAGGUGAGAAGCCCUUCAAGUGCGAGUUUGAGGGCUGCGACAGGCGCUUCGCCAACAGCAGCGACAGGAAGAAACACAUGCACGUCCACACCUCGGACAAGCCCUACAUCUGCAAGGUGCACGAAUCCCAGGGGUCGGACUCUUCCCCUGCAGCCAGUUCGGGCUACGAGUCCUCCACCCCCCCUGCGGUGGGCUCCGCCGGCAGUAAGGACUCCACUAAAACGCCGCCGGCCGCCCUGCAGAGUAACCCCGGCCACAACCCUGGACUGCCCCCCAAUUUUAAUGAGUGGUAUGUGUGAAGGCAGCUGCUGCCCGGCCAGAGACUGGACCAAAUGCGUUGUGAACAAGGAAAAACAAAAAACAAAAACAAAACAAAAAAAAAGAGGACAAAUCAAGCCAACUGCAGCUCGCUCCCAUGGAAAUGGAGUUUCCACACCGACGACCGCAUAGGGCUACACCUAGUUAACUGCCAGGAUCUGGAGGGGGGGGUCUUUUAUUAUUAUAUUAUAAUUAUUACUAUUUUUUGCAAGCCCAGACGCUGGACUAGCCAUGUCCUUUUCUCAGGAUUGGAUUUCUUUUUUUUUGUUGUCAUUUUUUGCAAUCGCAGUCGUUUCUUUGAUAAUUUUUUUCCUCCUUGCCCCAAUCCCUCUUCCUCCGAUUCCCUACUUUAUUUUUUUUUAAUUCUUGAUUUGUUUUGUUUUUCCUUCUUUCGGUGGGAUGUUGACAUGAGGAUGAAAAAUUCUCCUUCGCCUUAGUGGUGAUUGUUUAAACUUACAGUCUUAAACCGUGCCAAAGUCCUGUUAUGUCUUGAACUUUCCUCUCUAGCUCUCCUGCUGCUUCUUUCUCUGCUCUCCUCCUCUUUCUCCUUCUCUCUCUCUCUCCAAGCAUUACACUUGUGAAUGUAUUCUCGUCUGAUGGGGUCGGUCAGUAUUUUUCAGGAUGAGGAUGUGGUGUUUAUUCUACCCAGAUUGUGACGUUUAGUAUAACAGUUGCCUUUUUGUAAUAACUUUUUUUUGUAAAUACAUAUCCAUGAUGCCAUAUUUAUCGUUCGUAAUUUAAUUAUUGAUACGAAGUGCCGGGAACUGAACAAUAUUUAUGGGGGAGAAAAAAAAAAUUGUUUUCUAACAAAAAAAAAAAUACAAACAACAAAAAAAAUAAUAUUCCAACUCUGUACAGCUUUUGGUUAUAACUGCUUUAGCAUUAAAAGUUUAUUGUUUUGGAAAGAGCCGUUUUUUGACCUCCUCCGGGGGCCGGGCCGUUGUUUUCGGGCUGGCGAUGCCGGAUGAAGCCUCCUCCUCGCUGCUGCUUGCUUCUUUUUUUUCUUUUUUUCCCCCCCUCCCGUCCCCUUUGUCCCCGCCCCAACGGCUUCGCUUCCCCCGCCGCCCUCCCGAGCGCAGGGAGCCCCCGGCCGAGGAGCGCCGGGGGCCGCCCGGACGGGGGGGGGUCCCGACGGUGAGUACCGGGCCGCGUCGCCCGCCGCCCCCCGCAUGCAUGGCAAACCGUCCCGGGAUCGUGACGGGGUGACUCCCGGAGGAGACUCCCGGGGCGACCUCGCGUCACGACGGAUUUUCUCUGUUACCGUCUGUUUUUUGUUGUGUUGGUUUUUUUUUCCUUUUUUUUUUUCUUUCUUUAUUUCUGAUCAGGAUGCGGAAAAGCCUCCACCGUCCCCAGAAGAGAAAAAUGGUCGAGAAGAGACGUCUUACCCCUGAAACUUCUUCUCCGGCACCGCUCAGGAGUCCCCAAGCAGCCAGAGCGACGCUGGAAACCGGGCCCCCCCUCCUCGGCAAAGCUCCGGGAGCCGCCCGUGGCCCCGGGGGGGCUGCAGCCCGGGCGUACGGCUCCGCAUCCUCCCUCCCUGGGACGGCAGGGACCCCGCCGCGGGCUCCCCCCAGCUCCGGGGGGAGGCGGGGACCCGCACCGCGGGCUCCGCACCUCAGCUGAACGGGACCCACUCCGGACGGGCCCGUCUUGAACUUGACUUGGGGGCACUGCGGGGGUGGGGAGGUACGACGGGGCGGCCCGUCCCCUCCAGCCUGCCGCGGGGGCCGCUCGGGCGAGGGACCCGCAGAACCUGGAGCCGAGCCCCGGGGGCUGGACGCGGAGCGCUGCCGGGCCCGGGCCCGAGCCCUUCCUGGGGGGGCGAGCGGGGCCGCCCCGCACCGCGGCGGGCGAGGAGGAGCGGAGC